rnacentral:rRNA from 1 species
GACGAACGCUGGCGGCACGCUUAACACAUGCAAGUCGAACGGUGAAAAGAAGCUUGCUUCUUGGAUCAGUGGCGGACGGGUGAGUAACACGUGAGCAACCUGCCUUUAAGAGGGGGAUAACGUCCGGAAACGGACGCUAAUACCGCAUAACAUAUGGGAUUCGCAUGUUUUCCAUAUCAAAGAUUUAUCGCUUAAAGAUGGGCUCGCGUCUGAUUAGCUAGUUGGUGAGGUAACGGCUCACCAAGGCGACGAUCAGUAGCCGGACUGAGAGGUUGAACGGCCACAUUGGGACUGAGACACGGCCCAGACUCCUACGGGAGGCAGCAGUGGGAAUAUUGCACAAUGGGCGCAAGCCUGAUGCAGCGAUGCCGCGUGAGGGAAGACGGUCUUCGGAUUGUAAACUUUGUCUUAGUGAAGAAACAUGACGGUAGCUAAGGAGAAAGCCACGGCUAACUACGUG